ACCUAGCUGGCUCAGUUGGUAGAGCCUGAGACUCGUGAUCUUAGAGUUGUGAGUUCAAGCCCCAUGCUGGGUG
rnacentral:tRNA from 2 species